rnacentral:rRNA from 1 species
GGAUCCCAUCAGAACUCCGAAGUUAAGCGUGCUUGGGCUAGAGUAGUACUAGGAUGGGUGACCUCCUGGGAAGUCCUCGUGACCUCAUUUUC